AUCUUUGCACAGUGGCAGUAUCAUAGCCAAUGAGGUUUCUCCGAGGCGCGAUUAUUGCUAAUUGAAUAUAUUUUCAGUAGUAGAAUUGUUAGAUAGUAUGGUAAUUGUAUAUUUAAUUUUCUGAGUAUCUUCCAUACU